GAUGAACGCUGGCGGCGUGCCUAAUACAUGCCAGUCGAGCGAACGGACGAGAAGCUUGCUUCUCUGAUGUUAGCGGCGGACGGGUGAGUAACACGUGGAUAACCUACCUAUAAGACUGGGAUAACUUCGGGAAACCGGAGCUAAUACCGGAUGAUAUUUUGAACCGCAUGGUUCAAAAGUGAAAGACGGUCUUGCUGUCACUUCUAGAUGGAUCCGCGCUGCAUUAGCUAGUUGGUAAGGUAACGGCUUACCAAGGCAACGAUGCAUAGCCGACCUGAGAGGGGGAUCGGCCACACUGGAACUGAGACACGGUCCAGGCCCCUACGGGAGGCAGCAGUAGGGAAUCUUCCGCAAUGGGCGAAAGCCUGACGGAGCAACGCCGCGUGAGUGAUGAAGGUCUUCGGAUCGUAAAACUCUGUUAUGAGGGAAGAACAUAUGUGUAAGUAACUGUGCACAUAUUGACGGUACCUAAUCAGAAAGCCACGGCUAACUACGUG
rnacentral:rRNA from 1 species